AGAGUUUGAUCCUGGCUCAGGAUGAACGCUGGCGGCGUGCUUAACACAUGCAAGUCGAACGGAUUGGCGAUUAGCAGAAGUCCACUGGAGACGGGGAACAUGAGAAAUCGUGGGAACCGUGGAAGGCGGAUGGAAGCUACAAGCCGGUCAGUGGCGGACGGGUGAGUAACACGUGGGUGACCUGCCCUGAAGUGGGGGAUAACUAUCCGAAAGGAUGGCUAAUACCGCAUGUGAUUCGGCAUUCGGUUGUCGAAUCAAAGGAGCAAUUCGCUUCGGGAGGGGCCCGCGGCCCAUCAGCUAGUUGGUAGGGUAACGGCCUACCAAGGCAAUGACGGGUAGCUGGUCUGAGAGGACGAUCAGCCACAUUGGCACUGAGACACGGGCCAAACUCCUACGGGAGGCAGCAGUGAGGAAUAUUGCGCAAUGGGCGAAAGCCAGACGCAGCAACGCCGCGUGGGCGAUGAAGGUCUUCGGAUCGUAAAGCCCUUUUACGGAGGAAGAGGAAGGACAGUACUCCGGGAAUAAGUCUCGGCUAACUACGUGCCAGCAGCCGCGGUAAAACGUAGGAGGCUAGCGUUAUCCGGAUUUAUUGGGCGUAAAGCGCGUGCAGGCGGUGCUCUAAGUUGGAUGUGAAAUCUCCCGGCCUAACUGGGAGGGGUCAUUCAAUACUGGGGCACUUGAGGACAGGAGAGGGAAGUGGAAUUCCCGGUGUAGCGGUGGAAUGCGCAUAUAUCGGGAGGAACACCAGUGGCGAAAGCGGCUUCCCGGUCUGUCCCUGACGCUGAGACGCGAAAGCUAGGGGAGCAAACGGGAUUAGAUACCCCGGUAGUCCUAGCUGUAAACGAUGGAUACUAGGUGUUGGUGGUAUUGACCCCAUCAGUGCCGUAGCUAACGCGUUAAGUAUCCCGCCCUGGGGAGUACGACCGCAAGGUUUAACACUCAAAGGAAAUUGACUGGGGUCCCGCACAAGCACCUGAAGCGUGUGGGCUUUGACUUCGGAUGCAAACACG
rnacentral:rRNA from 1 species